rnacentral:rRNA from 1 species
AAGUCGAGCGAACGGACGAGAAGCUUGCUUCUCUGAUGUUAGCGGCGGACGGGUGAGUAACACGUGGAUAACCUACCUAUAAGACUGGGAUAACUUCGGGAAACCGGAGCUAAUACCGGAUAAUAUUUUGAACCGCAUGGUUCAAAAGUGAAAGACGGUCUUGCUGUCACUUAUAGAUGGAUCCGCGCUGCAUUAGCUAGUUGGUAAGGUAACGGCUUACCAAGGCAACGAUGCAUAGCCGACCUGAGAGGGUGAUCGGCCACACUGGAACCUGAGACACGGUCCAGACUCCUACGGGAGGCAGCAGUAGGGAAUCUUCCGCAAUGGGCGGAAAGCCUGACGGAGCAACGCCGCGUGAGUGAUGAAGGUCUUCGGAUCGUCAAACUCUGUUAUUAGGGAAGAACAUAUGUGUAAGUAACUGUGCACAUCUUGACGGUACCUAAUCAGAAAGCCACGGCUAACUACGUGCCAGCAGCCGCGGUAAUACGUAGGUGGCAAGCGUUAUCCGGAAUUAUUGGGCGUAAAGCGCGCGUAGGCGGUUUUUUAAGUCUGAUGUGAAAGCCCACGGCUCAACCGUGGAGGGUCAUUGGAAACUGGAAAACUUGAGUGCAGAAGAGGAAAGUGGAAUUCCAUGUGUAGCGGUGAAAUGCGCAGAGAUAUGGAGGAACACCAGUGGCGAAGGCGACUUUCUGGUCUGUAACUGACGCUGAUGUGCGGAAG